rnacentral:lncRNA from 1 species
GAUGGCCGGUCCUCAGAAUCUUCCCUGUCAACUUUAUUCAGGUGUUUAUGGAUGAUACAUCAUUAUGUUGCCCCACUUGAGUACUACUCCGUACCUGAUAUUAGCAUUGCAGGGUGCAGUAUCCGACUUUGCACCAAGUGUUGUUAUCCCGUUACUGAUAAUUACCGGUGGAGUAACAUUCACAGAGUCUGCAAUGGUAGAUAUAUUGGCUGACCAAUUGUUAUUUGUCUCAGCCAAAAUGUUUCUCGUGUAUGUUUGAUGUCAGAUAUAUAAAUGGGCGGCAUACGAGUAUACCUGUAACGGGGCGGCAUACGAGUAUACCUGAAGCUUUUAUCCUCGUGUUGUAAAAUGUCCUAACGAAAUCUCGCGUCGCGGCAUGCUGUGAAUCUGAGGGAGCACUGGCUGUAUACGAGCCGGUGCCGUCUACAGGAAUUAUGGGCCCUGCGCAAAAAGCAAAAUGGGGCUGUAAAAUUUGAAAUUGAGUUGAUGC